UGGGGCCUUAGCUCAGCUGGGAGGCGCCUGCUUUGCACGCAGGAGGUCAGCGGUUCGAUCCCGCUAGGCUCCAU
rnacentral:tRNA from 1 species